AAGGAGGGUGCGAGCGUUAUUCGGAAUUACUAGGCGUAAAGCGAGUGCAGGCGGAGAGGCAAGUCUGAUGUGAAAACCCUUGGCUUAACCCGGGAAGAACAUUUGAAACUGUCUUUCUUGAGUACGGGAGAGGAAAGUGGAAUUCCCGGUGUAGAGGUGAAAUUCGUAGAUAUCAGGAGGAACACCGGUGGCGAAGGCGACUUUCUGGCCGGUUACUGACGCUCAGACGCGAAAGCGUGGGGAUCAAACAG
rnacentral:rRNA from 1 species